AUCUUCAAGUCCCUUUUACUUCUCAUUGUUUAAUCCUAUGUGGCAUGAACUGCGAAAGGAACAGUGUCAAAGCCUGUAGAACUGCAAUUAUAGAAAUUCGUUACGGAAACCAUGACGUUUGCAGUGGCAUUAUGACAGAGCAAUCACACAGUGAACACAGGAGGGAAAAUUCACUGAAGAAACAUCAGACUGGGUGUGUAAUCAGAGAGGAAAGGAAAGCAUCAAUGACUAAGAUUGUAAAUUCAACAUCAAGGUGCUGGAAGACUGUGUGUUUGUUGAGUGCUGGCUUCUUCACAGCCAUUUUCUCACUAUAAACUCGUGUGGCAGAAGGAGCCAGAGAUACGCCUGAUGUCUCUUCUAUAGCGUCUCUUCCUCAAGAUCUGUCUAAUUACAGCACACCCACCACUGUCUGGCAGAUUAGAUGUCAAAAUAAAUUUUGAGGUUGGAACCUUUGCCUAUUGGCUAUAUAUACCACAAUAUGGACAUCAUCGUCUUACUUUAAUGGACAUUAUCAAAAAAUGGGUCCAGAGUUUGAAAAGAAAAAUUUCUAGGUGCAACGAAUCUACUGAGUGAGCAAGAACUAUAAGAACUAUUAUCUGGCAGCCCUUGAUUUGUACUAACACCAGGCUUAUAGCCAUAGCAACUUACUUCAUACACUGAUUCUAGGAGGCCAGAGCAUCUCAUGAGAGACAAGGCAACAGAGACAUUGCAGAGAUAUGGUCAUAUGGUC
rnacentral:sRNA from 1 species